AUCCUAUUUUUCCCCUCACUUUUCUUCACCAGCCGCAUCUCUCUCUUUUUCUCUCCCUCGCCACAGAUCUGCACCUCCGCCACGCAGCCUCUCCCCCACCCUCGCCUCACGAUCUUAUAUAUUUUUUUUCAUCCCUCUUCUUCUCUCCCAAUAGCCUUUUUAUGUGCGAAUCCCAUGGUCAAGGGCAAUUAUGAAGAAGACGACGAAGCUUCUUCUCCAAUCCAUUUCUCCGCCGUUUUUUGGGAACAACUUCCAGCGUCACAUGACUCUGAUCCGACGUCGACGACCUCUUAGCGUUCAUGACGGUGUAACACCGGUGACGACGAGAUCCAGAUCGAGGCAAGCGAGAUUAUUUAGGUUUGUCUGUCAAAUUCCGUCAUUAUUUAAUUAUUUUUAUUUUGCAACUGAUUGAUUUUUUAGAUUAAUUGUUAUGAUGUUGUUGUCUUGAUUCAAUUGUCAAAUUACAAUAUGAUUCGAUUUCUAUCAUGUCUUAUUUGUUGAAUAAUUUUGUGAUUUGAGUCUUGCGUUUGUUUAAAUAGAAAAUCAGCAAUUUGUUGAUGUUAUUACAUAUUUUGGAUAUUAUUGUGUGUUCUGAUUUGAAUUUUUAUUGAAUUGUUUUGUGUUUGUCUUUAUGUAUGAAAUAGUUGCGGACAUCGUGAUUAUUUUAUGCAUAGCAUAUUCGAAAUCUACGAAGAUCUGUGGAAGAAAACUCAUAUGAUCGGAGUUGUAUCUUGGCCCUAUCUCUGGAAGAAAACUCAUAUCUCAGACAUCGCAAAGUAGAAGAAAAUUGGAGUUGUUUAUUUUGUAGUCGAU
rnacentral:lncRNA from 1 species